AGCAGCCGCGGUAAUUCCAGCUCCAAUAGCGUAUAUUAAAGUUGUUGCAGUUAAAAAGCUCGUAGUUGAAUUUCGGGAUUCGUCCAUUGGUCAGGCUUAACUGUCUGUACUGGUGUGUCGGAUUUCUACCUUCUGAAGAACCUUCAUGCCAUUAAUUUGGUGUGUUGGGGAAUCAGGACUGUUACUUUGAAAAAUUAGAGUGUUUAAAGCAGGCUAACGUCUGAAUACAUUAGCAUGGAAUAAUGAAAUAGGACGGUACGGUUCUAUUUUGUUGGUUUCUAGGAUCGCCGUAAUGAUUAAUAGGGAUAGUUGGGGGCAUUAGUAUUCAAUUGUCAGAGGUGAAAUUCUUGGAUUUAUUGAAGACUAACUACUGCGAAAGCAUUUGCCAAGGAUGUUUUCAUUAAUCAAGAACGAAAGUUAGGGGAUCGAAGACGAUCAGAUACCGUCGUA
rnacentral:rRNA from 1 species